CCUUGCCAGCCCGCUCAGAAACUCAAAUGAAUUGACGGGGGCCCGCACAAGCGGUGGAGCAUGUGGUUUAAUUCGAUGAUACGCGAGGAACCUUACCUGGGCUCAAAUGUAUGUUGACGUAUUCUGAAAGGGAUACUUCUUCGGACAAUAUACAAGGUGCUGCAUGGUUGUCGUCAGCUCGUGCCGUGAGGUGUCGGGUUAAGUCCCAUAACGAGCGCAACCCCUAUCAUUAGUUGCCAUCAGGUCAAGCUGGGGACUCUAAUGAAACUGCCUACGCAAGUAGUGAGGAAGGUGGGGAUGACGUCAAAUCAGCACGGCCCUUACGUCCAGGGCUACACACGUGCUACAAUGGUCGGUACAAAGGGUUGCCAAGCCGCGAGGUGGAGCUAAUCCCAUAAAACCGAUCGUAGUCCGGAUCGCAGUCUGCAACUCGACUGCGUGAAGUCGGAAUCGCUAGUAAUCGUGAAUCAGAAUGUCACGGUGAAUACGUUCCCGGGCCUU
rnacentral:rRNA from 1 species